rnacentral:snoRNA from 1 species
AAUCUGUGGUGCUGGCAUUUUUUGAAUCAACAUUUUGAAAUGUUCCUACGCCUCAUAAAAACUUUCUCCCUACAUCUGUCUAAAGAUAGCAAUAUCUCUUCCUAGUUG